ACAUACUCUUCAUCCAUAUGAGCGAUCUCUUAUUGAAUUGACUCUUGGAGAUAGAAAUUAUCAUUAUAUUAUAUCAAGAAUUAUUGUUAUAAGGUGUUUAUGUGCUGAGACGAACUUCAAAGAAACUUUUUUGGCAACAGUUUGCAAGAGGUCUAUAUUGAGAUGCAUUUCUUUGGCGCAAUACUAGACAACAUUGGUAGUUGAAGUUUUUAGAAUAAAAAAUAUAUUUCACUAACUUUGUAUACAUUUCUUGUUUAAUAUUUGGUGAUAAUAGAAUUUGAUUGUAGUAUAAA